rfam:Punctularia strigosozonata HHB-11173 SS5 unplaced genomic scaffold PTNSTscaffold_2, whole genome shotgun sequence.
UCCCGCUUAGCUCAGUGGUAGAGCGCGUCACUAGUAAUGACGAGGUCAGUCGUUCAAGUCGGCUAGUGGGAA